CGAGAGGUGGCCUCGCCUCCCGUGGCGCUCGGCCGAGGUGGCCUCCGCGUUGCGCCACCGAACGAGCUUGGGAGGCGCCGCGAAGGCACCGCGGGUCCGGGCGCGGCCCGGAAAAGAAGCGAGAAGGGCAGGGGACGGGCGCCGCCGAAGGUCCCGAAGGUAGCCUGCUGAAGCCCAGCAGGGGGCUCGGACGUCGCCCCGCCCCGGAACAUGGACGCAGGCUUCCCGCACCACCUUGGGGCAGACCUCCGCGGCCACCCCGGCCCCAUGUCCACUACCAGAGCAAAGCCCACGACAGUGGCCAGCCUUGCCACUCCCGGGACAGAAGCAGUGCCCCUCGGCCAAUGGCUCGGAGGAGGUUAGGAGCGACCUGCAGAUACCUGAUGGCCUUUGGCAAUUGGGAACUUUAUGGAACCGGGAUCAAGACUCAGGACCCAGGGGGCAGGUCUGAAAUACGGCUGAUUGGGUUUGCUCUUAACAAACAUAUGAUCAUCUCACAGACAUAAUAUCUCAUCCUGUUUUGUUAUCGAAACAUCACCUACGAUUUUGAAGGUGGUUCUCUUCAAAGAAACAACCAGAGAGCUCAGAUGCUAAGGGGAGGAGCCUGUGGGGAGCUAAGUCCUGGAAAGCUGUGUGUGCCUGUGAUCCUGGCUACUCCAUAGGAUGAGGCAGGAAGAUCUGGAAAGUUCAAGGCCAGCUCAAGCACCUUAGCUGGAAGUUCCAGGAGUCCAUAGGAAAGACAAUGGAGACACAUUCACUGAAGGGUGCGAUUUAAAAAACUACGGUGAAUACUGCUGUCUAGGGUCAUCCAACAGGAAGGCAGGCUUGUAAAAAUGUGACGCUGUGUCCUCGUCCUCCUUAUUCACUGGAUCUGGCAUGGAGUGACUUCUGACUCUUCCCCAAAGUCAAAAUGGCCAUGCAAGAUCAACCUUUUGAAUCAAUUCAGGACAUCAAGGCAGCCAUGACUAUGAAACUAAAGACACACACGAAAGUUGACUUCCAGAACUGCUUUAGAAGAUGGCAAGGACAGUGAGGUGGAAACAAGCCAAAUGUCCACUGACAUACGAAUGGGGAAACAAAUAUUAUUCAGCCUUUAAAAAGAAGGAAAAUCUGACUCAUGCUGUAACAUGAAUGAACCUUGAAGACAUGCAGAGUGAAAUAAACCAGAC
rnacentral:lncRNA from 1 species